rnacentral:rRNA from 1 species
CCCUUAGAUGUCCGGGGCCGCACGCGCGCUACACUGAAGGAAUCAGCGUGGCUUUCUCCCUGACCCGAAAGGGUUGGGAAACCCGUUGAAUCUCCUUCGUGAUAGGGAUUGGGGCUUGAAAUUUUUCCCCAUGAACGAGGAAUUCCCAGUAAGCGCGAGUCAUAAGCUCGCGUUGAUUACGUCCCUGCCCUUUGUACACACCGCCCGUCGCUACUACCGAUUGAACGGUUUAGUGAGGGCCUCGGAUUGGUCUCGGCCCGCUCUUUACCGGGCGGCGCCGUUGGUCGAGAAGACGCUCGAACUUGAUCGUUUAGAGGAAGUAAAAGUCGUAACA